rnacentral:rRNA from 1 species
UUUGAUCAUGGCUCAGGAUAAACGCUGGCGGCGUGCCUAACACAUGCAAGUCGAACGAUCCCGCAAGGGAGAGUGGCGGAAGGGUGAGUAACACGUGGGAAUCUACCUCCUCGCAGGGAACAACCUCUCGAAAGAGAGGCUAAUACCCAAAAGGGUCAGAAAUGAUCAGAGUCGAAAGGCGUGAGGAGAGGAGCCCGCGGCCCAUCAGCUAGUUGGUGAGGUAAUGGCUUACCAAGGCUACGACGGGUAGGGGAUCUGAGAGGAUGUCCCCCACACUGGAACUGAAACACGGUCCAGACGCCUACGGGUGGCAGCAGUGAGGAAUAUUGGACAAUGGGCGAAAGCCCGAUCCAGCAACGCCGCGUGGAGGAUGAAGGCCUUCGGGCCGUAAACUUCUUUAGAGGGAGACGAGAAAGGACGGUAUCCCUAGAAUAAGCGACGGCAAACUACGUG